rnacentral:lncRNA from 1 species
ACGGGAAACACACACGGUGGAGAUAAUUGGGGCAAAUGCAACUAUAUGGAAGAGCUGAAACUAUGAGAUACGUCGGAGGUAAGCUCGUGUUGCAAUGCACAAGGAGAGACACUAGCAAAGGCUCAAAGGAAACGGGCACAAGAUUGCUCAAACGACAAUUGGAAAUAGCAAAUUUUGGAUCAACUCUUUUCCGCUACAACGGCGGAUAGCUAAAAAUGAUCCCGGAAGGGUAAAAACAGUAUAGGCUCGAAAAAAUUUCGGAGAGAGUUCCAGACUCUUCUUUUUUUUUUUUUUGCUCUCCCCUACUCUUUCCUUGCGGCCGAAGCUUUCCGGGAACUCAAAUCACUUACAGAUCUAUCGGAUUCUUAUGGAAAAACAACAGCAGCCCGUAGAGCAAAAGAUAUACUAGUACUCGAAAGAGCAAACCGACUCAAAGAAGGACUCAGAUCGGAAAUGGUACUCUGACUUGUGGUAGAACUCAGAUACACCCUAACCGACUAGAAGAAGGACUCG